GACGAACGCUGGCGGCGUGCUUAACACAUGCAAGUCGAACGGAAAGGCCCUGCUUUUGUGGGGUGCUCGAGUGGCAAACGGGUGAGUAACACGUGAGUAACCUGCCCUUGACUUUGGGAUAACUUCAGGAAACUGGGGCUACUACCGGAUAGGAGCUCCUGCUGCAUGGUGGGGGUUGGAAAGUUUCGGCGGUUGGGGAUGGACUCGCGGCUUAUCAGCUUGUUGGUUGGGUAGUGGCUUACCAAGGCUUUGACGGGUAGCCGGCCUGAGAGGGUGACCGGCCACAUUGGGACUGAGAGACGGCCCAGACUCCUACGUGAGGCAGCAGUGGGGAAUAUUGCACAAUGGGCGGAAGCCUGAUGCAGCAACGCCGCGUGCGGGAUGACGGCCUUCGGGGUGUAAAACGCUUUCGCCUGUGACGAAGCGUGAGUGACGGUAAUGGGUAAAGAAGCACCGGCUAACUACGUG
rnacentral:rRNA from 1 species